rnacentral:rRNA from 1 species
AGAGUUUGAUCCUGGCUCAGGAUGAACGCUGGCGGCAGGCUUAAUACAUGCAAGUCGAACGGUAACGACCGGUAGCAAUACUGGGGCGACGAGUGGCGCACGGGUGCGUAACGCGUAUGCAACCUACCCUCAACCGGGGCAUAACGCCGAGAAAUUGGCGCUAAUAUCCCAUGUGUAUAUGGAGUGGCAUCUCUUCAUAUAUAAAGAUCCGUUGGUUAAGGAUGGGCAUGCGUAACAUUAGCUAGUUGGCGGGGUAACGGCCCACCAAGGCGACGAUGUUUAGGGGUUCUGAGAGGAUUCACCCCCACACUGGAACUGAGACACGGCCCAGACUCCUACGGGAGGCAGCAGUAGGGAAUAUUGGGCAAUGGAGGCAACUCUGACCCAGCCAUGCCGCGUGAAGGAAGACGGCCCUAUGGGUUGUAAACUUCUUUUGCCGCAGAGUAACCGCGGGGACGAGUCCCUGCCUGAGAGUAUGCGGCGAAUAAGUAUCGGCUAACUCCGUGCCAGCAGCCGCGGUAAUACGGAGGAUACGAGCGUUAUCCGGAUUUAUUGGGUUUAAAGGGUGCGCAGGCGGACCGUUAAGUCAGGGGUGAAAAGUUGGGGCUCAACUCCAAUCGUGCCUUUGAUACUGGCGGACUAGAGUGCAGGGGACGUGACUGGAAUGUGAUGUGUAGCGGUGAAAUGCUUAGAUAUGUCACAGAACGCCGAUCGUGAAGACAGGUCACGAAUCUGCAACUGACGCUCAUGCACGAAAGCGUGGGGAUCAAACAGGAUUAGAUACCCUGGUAGUCCACGCUGUAAA